rnacentral:rRNA from 1 species
CACGUAGGCUGUAGUGUAAGUCAGGGGUGAAAUCCCACGGCUCAACCGUGGAACUGCCUUUGAUACUGCACAACUUGAAUCCGGGAGAGGGUGGCGGAAUUCCAGGUGUAGGAGUGAAAUUCGUAGAUAUCUGGAGGAACAUCAGUGGCGAAGGCGGCCACCUGGACCGGUAUUGACGCUGAGGUGCGAAAGCGUGGGGAGCAAACA